UACGGAGGGGGCUAGCAUUGUUCGGAAUUACUGGGCGUAAAGCGCGCGUAGGCGGAUUGAUAAGUUGGGGGUGAAAUCCCGGAGCUCAACUCCGGAACUGCCUCCAAAACUGUCUCUCUUGAGUCCGGAAGAGGUGAGUGGAAUUCCUAGUGUAGAGGUGGAAUUCGUAGAUAUUAGGAAGAACACCAGCGGCGAAGGCGGCUCACUGGUCCGGUACUGACGCUGAGGCGCGAAAGUGUGGGGAGCAAACAGG
rnacentral:rRNA from 1 species